UUCAGUGAGUCACUUAUCUGCUUGAUGCCGCCAGUUUUACCGAGGUUACAACUGCUGACUUGUUUCUAAGGAUUUGGAAACAUUCUUGGGCCAAAUUACAGAUAACUCGAUUUAGCUGCAGCAAUUAAACAGAAUCAGUUCCUUCCCACCCCGAGCUGUGGUUACAUGUCAAGUUAAGCAAACAGCUCAGCUGCUGCUGCAGCACCUGCAGGGAGGGACUGACCCAUAAAAAAUCUCAUUUUGUUGGACACCUUGUUCAGAGGCUUUGGUUUGUGCAGUUACCCUUAAUCUGCACCAUGUGUAGCUGAUAGGCUGCAGUGGGAGCCCUUCCUGUGGGGCUUUCCAGGGAUGUGCAGUACGUGCCUCGCGCUGGCUCCAGGGCACUGUGCACAAGAUUUUCUGCAGGCAAUGGUCUCUGGGUUCUAAUAACUUAUUGGGCAGGUGGAUGGAGAGCUGACAUCUGUCCAGUCCUAUUGGCACCUCCGUGGUUUUAUUUUUGGUUUAGGAAAUGGCAAUGUGAAGCAAGCUUCUUUCCUGCCAUUUUUUUUCCCUAGGGUGUUGUUGUUUUGUUUUGUUUCCUUUUGUUUUUUUCUUUUCCACUUUCUGCUCUAACUUUGCCUGCUCUGCCUAUUCCAAAGGCUGAAGCAGGUUAGCCCCUCUUCUCCAUCCUGCUCCCACACAGGCACAUUUUGGAAAGUACCACAGCCUCAAAUUUGCAAUCUGUGCAGUUUGAGUGUGUCAGAUACUCCAGUCUCUAACACCAGCUAUUAGGGCUAUGUUUAGUCUAGCAGUAUUUGAAAUAAAUUUGAGCUGGUGGAAUGUGAGAGGACUUUAGAGAUUGCUGGAAAAGAAAAAUUAUUCCAAGAAAACCCAUAUAUUCUCAGGAACCCCAGAGGCUCAAAGAGAGAGCAGAGAAAUAGGUUAUCUAUAGCCCAGGCAAAUAAAAUAUUCUUAUUAUAACUCCAUGGGCACUAUGCCAACUCUCUGCAAGCAAUAUUUCUCUUUGCAUCUUGCUUUGCCAGUUAAUUGGACAUCUAUUAUUUCAUGAUUUCAGCAGGAAACAUAGCCUGAGUGAUGACUUUGGUACCCAGCCCAGUGCUACUGUGCACUUUCUGAGCUCUGAAUUGUGCAAAUGCUUCCAGUCAGCCCCUGCUCCUUCUCCAAGUGUGUGUGAACUGUCAGUGCUGCUUGCUGACAUUUUCUAGGGACACUGGGGCUGUGACAUGUUCCUCCAGCAGCUCUUUCCAUGAUGUUCAGGGCCCUGCAAGGAUGGAGGCAGCUCCUCCUUCCCCAUCUCCUGCUCCUUCCUUUCCCUGCCUGGGAUCAGUCCUUGGGGACAGGGGGACAGCUGGAGGACAGAGCCACACACCACGUGCAGGGAUGUGGCAGCCCAGGGCUGGUCCCCAAUGCCCACUUCUCUCUGCCAGAUUAUUUUGGUCAGUUAAAUGUAGAAACCAUGGUGGAAGCAGCUUAUUUUAAGAUUAUACCAUUUCUUGGGUUUUUUUUUUUUUUUUUUGCUGUCAAGAUCCAGAUUUUGCAAACAAGUUUGUUUACCCUUUCCACCCAGCUCUGGGGUUAUCCAGCCACAGAGCAGAGCCUGAGCGUGGUCACAGCUGCCUGCCCGGAUGCCCACAAUGAAUUGUUUGCUGACAAGCUUCAGACCUGCCAUUACUCAGAGAAAUUAUUCAGCAAAUAGUUUUGAAUAAUGAACCCCUUUGAGAAGUUUGAGUUGUUUUGCAGGCAGAUUCCAGGCAGGGAACACACUCAGGAAGUCGGAGCUUUCAGCACAUUUUCCCCUCUGUUUGCCAGGCUGUGGAGCUGGCAAAGCUUCUCUUUCUGAUACCUCCACCUGGAUUAAAGUGCUCCACCAGAGUCGUGUGAUGCAGGCUGAGGGUGCCCACUGCUCUGACACAGCUCAGCCACUCUGGGCUCCCAAAUCCUGCCCAAGCUGGAUCGUGGAGACCUUUCAAUAAACACCUCCUUUAUUCUCUAGCUCCGUCCAGUUUCUCUUUGAGCCUCCCCAUGGCAGGGGGGUUGCAACAACAUCAUAUUAAACAUCCUUUCCUACCCAAACCAGGCUAUGAUCUGUGAAAUGGCCUGCUCUUUGUUUUGGAGCUGCCAGAGGGGGAGGAUGGCAGCGCUGAAGGCUUGAGCAUCCUCGGGCUGUUCCCUUGAGCCGUGUCCGUGCGCAUCUCUGCCGGCAGGAGCGGCUCUGCCCUCACCGGGACCGACUCCUGCAUAUUUGAAGCUCUCUGGCCAAAACCUGUCAGCGGGAGAGCAGCAGAGGAGGAAACAGCUUCAGACGCUCGUACGCAAAUGCUUCUGCCCAAAGUUGCUGAUGAUGGAGAAAUGCCCGUUUGGAGAAGGGUGAGAAGGCAGAAGGCAGAGAUGAAGCUGAAGAAUCUCAGCCAGGAGCUGACUUAGGAGAGGAAGUCCUGUCCUAAAGAAUCCUGUCACAAGCAUCCUGCCUGCAUCUGAAGGAUGCUCCUGGAGAGGCAGACACCCAGGCUGGGGCCAGUCUGCCCAUCUCUGACUUCAGCCAGCAUCGUCAUGGCAUCGAGCACCACGGCUGGUUCAGCAGCAAGGACAGGCAAUCGUGUGCACAGCCUUCUGUCACUUUGUAUUUGUGCAGCCAACUAAUCUGGUGUUGCAUGCCCUUGAUGUGACCAAGCACUCUGAGCUCACAGGGAUCACAUUUUCAAAGCUAUCAGCCUCCUAAAUAUGCCAAUAGGUGACUAAUGGCUUCCAAGUGCACUAUGCUCUAAGAACCCUGAGACAUACAAAGGGGCUGAGAUAAGACAGGAGAGGGAAAA